AAUUUUGGUUCAACAACAUACUGGGAAUGGGAGUCAGAUAUCAUGGUUCGUGCAUGCUACUGAUUUGUCUGAUGGUGAAUUGAAAGAAGAGGUGUUCUGUGUUCGAUUUGUAUACAUGGAGGGUUUCUGGGCAUUUUCCAAACCUGGAGGUCUAUGAUGUGAGAGUGCCCUUGGUGGAAUUGGUGGCUAUUCUAGCAGGGUGUAUAGGAGACUUUGGCGGUUCUGUCUAUAAUGUAGUUGGAUGUUUUAAUGGAAUGUGAAAGGCGAUAUAACCUUACUGUUUAUGGCAACCAUUUCCGCAGAGUAUGGGAUGUGGAUUUGAAGCAUGACUUCGCCUUUGUUAAUUUUUUGUUGAUGAAAACUCGCAAUUGAAGGCCAUUGAUUUUGGCUUGUCCAAUUUUGUGAAACCAGAUAAAAGGCUUAAUGACAUCGUUGGAAGUGCAUACUAUGUUGCAUCUGAAGUUCUACAUAGAUCUUACAAUACAGAGGCUGAUGUGUGGAGUAUUGGUGUGAUAUCAUAUAUACUUUUAUGUGGAAGUUGUCCGUUCUUGGCUCGCACAGAGUCCGAGAUUUUUCGGGCCUUUAGGGCGGACUCGAUGAACCUCCUUGGCCUUCUUUAUCUUCUGAAGCCAAGAAUUUUGUCAAGCGUCUAUUGAAUAAAGACCCACAUGAACGAGUGAUGGCUGUUGAGGCAUUAAGUUAAUAUUCUCAUCUUGUUAAAAAGACUGCUGAAUUUCUUUCUUUGUGAUCCAAAUUAUAUUUCUCUUGGCAGGUCAUCCUUGGAUUAGUAACUACAAUGAUAUUCAAGCUCAUGAAAGCCUAUAUGCGAUCAUCAUCUCUACAUAAAGCGGCGUUAAGAGGAAAGAAGAGACUUGCUGAAGUUGCUAACAAUAAGCCCACUCUUGGACAAAAAUGUUAAAGUAGAAACUCCUCAGAAGUUAGGUGCUGAUGGCAAGAAAGGUGGUGAUGUUCGUCAAGGUACUCCUUACCCCAAGGGAGGAAAGACCCCUGCAAGUGGAGGCAAGUCAAACAAAUCUCUACUAGGGCAUUCGGUACAGUUCACAGUUGAGAACCGCAAUAGGUUUUGGUGUCUAUUAGUUUGUUCAGACACUUACUUUUUGGUGCCUAGGAAGUUUGUUUUCUUACUGGCCAUCAUAUUUGUUUCUUUGUUCAUAAUGAAUAAAAUGAUUUUUUGUAAAUGAAUUGUAAAUUGCGGAUAGUUUGCAGGCCUGUGUUUCCGGUCAGUUGUUGUAUUGCAGGCCUGUGUUUCAGGUUCAGUUGUUGUAUUGCAGGCCUGUGUUUCAGGUUCAGUUGUUGUAUUGCAGGCCUGUGUUUCAGGUUCAGUUGUUGUAUUGCAGGCCUGUGUUUCUGGUUUAAUUGUGCAGGCCUGUAAACUGGAAGGCCAGGUCCAUGAUAAUGACCUGGACUAUCCAUUU